GCAAAACGCGAAGAACCUUACCAGGUCUUGACAUCCCGCUGACCGGUCUAGAGAUAGAUUUUCCCUUCGGGGACAGCGGUGACAGGUGGUGCAUGGUUGUCGUCAGCUCGUGUCGUGAGAUGUUGGGUUAAGUCCCGCAACGAGCGCAACCCUUGAUCUUAGCUGCCAGCAUUCAGUUGGGCACUCUAAGGUGACUGCCGGUGAUAAACCGGAGGAAGGUGGGGAUGACGUCAAAUCAUCAUGCCCCUUAUGACCUGGGCUACACACGUGCUACAAUGAACGGUACAGAGGGUCGCAACCCCGCGAGGGUGAGCUAAUCCCAUAAAACCGUUCUCAGUUCGGAUUGUAGGCUGCAACUCGCCUACAUGAAGCCGGAAUCGCUAGUAAUCGUGGAUCAGCAUGCCACGGUGAAUACGUUCCCGGGUCUUGUACACACCG
rnacentral:rRNA from 1 species